GUACACGCUGUGACUAGCAUAUCAAUAAGCGGAGGAAAAGAAACUAACAAGGAUUCCCCUAGUAACGGCGAGUGAAGCGGGAAGAGCUCAAAUUUGAAAUCUUAAAGGGUUUCCCUUUACGAAUUGUAGUUUAAAGAAGUGUUUUCUGUUGAGGUUUUGGUAAAAGUUCUUUGGAAUAGGACAUCAUAGAGGGUGAGAAUCCCGUAUUUGACCUUUACUUUCAACUUUGUGAUACACUUUCAGAGAGUCGGAUUGUUUGGGAAUGCAGUCCAAAAUGGGUGGUAAAUUUCAUCUAAAGCUAAAUAUUGGCGAGAGACCGAUAGCGAACAAGUACCGUGAGGGAAAGAUGAAAAGAACUUUGAAAAGAGAGUUAAACAGUACGUGAAAUUGUCAAAAGGGAAGCGUUUGACACCAGUGUUGUUUUUCUGAAAAUCAAUUAAAGAACUGUUUAUGCUAAGCUGUUUAGACUUUAUCAGCUAAUCUGUUUAGUUUUGAGCUUUUCUUUAAUGCACUUUUCAGUUAACAAGUCAACAUCAAUUUCUUUUGCUGUAAAAAAGCUUGAGGAAGGUGGCUUGAGAUUCGUCUUAAGUGUUUAUAGCCUCUUGCCUAUGCAGUCGGAGAGAUUGAGGUCUGCAGCGUAGAUCCUUCGGGGCUAAAUGCAUUUGUGCUAAGUUAUAGCAUUUUAUAGACAACUUGUUGACUAUGAUUUGUCUUGUAGCUUACUCGCUUAUGUUAUUUUACCUACGCUUAGGAUGUUGAAGAUGUAGCACAUCAU
rnacentral:rRNA from 1 species